UAAUACACGCCUAUAUAACACAAUAACACGAUUCCCGCUCGUUCGCGACCGUUCGAUCGGACCGAUUGACCGCAUUGGCGCCGGUGUUGUAAUUGGUAUUGGUUUGGUUUUGUUUUUUUUUUCCGUUUUUUCGUCGAUAUAACAAAACAAUAUGCGCGGUGCUUGUAUUUAUAACGCGUCGUCGCACGCGAUCGGCAAAUCGUCUUAACACCGCAAUAACGUUU